GUUGGAAACAAGGAAAGAAACGUCUAAGCAUGAAGAGACCUUGAAAAACAGGACAAUGAACAGAUAGACAUCAGGAGUCCGAAAAGAUUAAGCUGAAACUAAAGAAAGACACUGAGGAGAGAACAGAAUAUCAAAAUGUCAACUGUUGAAACCAGAGAGAAUGAUGCUCACAAUCCUCCUCACAGGAAAAGAUGGAGCAAAAACGAACCUCUUGACU